AUGAACGCUGGCGGCGUGCCUAAUACAUGCAAGUCGAGCGAACAGACGAGGAGCUUGCUCCUCUGACGUUAGCGGCGGACGGGUGAGUAACACGUGGAUAACCUACCUAUAAGACUGGGAUAACUUCGGGAAACCGGAGCUAAUACCGGAUAAUAUAUUGAACCGCAUGGUUCAAUAGUGAAAGACGGUUUUGCUGUCACUUAUAGAUGGAUCCGCGCCGCAUUAGCUAGUUGGUAAGGUAACGGCUUACCAAGGCAACGAUGCGUAGCCGACCUGAGAGGGUGAUCGGCCACACUGGAACUGACACGGUCCAGACUCCUACGGGAGGCAGCAGUAGGGAAUCUUCCGCAAUGGGCGAAAGCCUGACGGAGCAACGCCGCGUGAGUGAUGAAGGUCUUCGGAUCGUAAAACUCUGUUAUUAGGGAAGAACAAAUGUGUAAGUAACUAUGCACGUCUUGACGGUACCUAAUCAGAAAGCCACGGCUAACUACGUG
rnacentral:rRNA from 1 species